CUACGGGUGGCAGCAGUGGGGAAUAUUGGACAAUGGGCGAAAGCCUGAUCCAGCCAUGCCGCGUGUGUGAAGAAGGCCUUCGGGUUGUAAAGCACUUUCAGUGGGGAAGAAAGCCUUGGGGCUAAUACCCUCGAGGAAGGACAUCACCCACAGAAGAAGCACCGGCUAACUCCGUGCCAGCAGCCGCGGUAAUACGGAGGGUGCGAGCGUUAAUCGGAAUUACUGGGCGUAAAGCGCGCGUAGGCGGUCUGAUAAGCCGGUUGUGAAAGCCCCGGGCUCAACCUGGGAACGGCAUCCGGAACUGUCAGGCUAGAGUGCAGGAGAGGAAGGUAGAAUUCCCGGUGUAGCGGUGAAAUGCGUAGAGAUCGGGAGGAAUACCAGUGGCGAAGGCGGCCUUCUGGACUGACACUGACGCUGAGGUGCGAAAGCGUGGGUAGCAAACAGGAUUAGAUACCCGGGUAGUC
rnacentral:rRNA from 1 species